UAAUAAAAGGAUACAAAUUUAUUGAUGUGUACAAGAGAACCACAGAGUGAUUACCCCACCAGACGAUAGGGAACAGAUGGCUAUAUACCCUUCUCUUAGGGAAAGAGAUAUAUAAAGUGUGGAUGAUUUUAGGGGAUAGUAAAUAAUUUUUAGGGGGAGUCAAUAGGCUUGAAGAACAUACAGUCACCUGGGACAAAGUCUGUUGGGUUGGCAGAACACUGGUUUGUCACUGAAGUCUCUUCAGGUGUGUUGAUAGACUUCAGUCUUCCUGCAAUGUGAAUUCAGUUAGUAAAACACAAGAGAAGGGACCUGAGAUACUUGUUUUCUUUUUUGUUAUGUCCAGACUUUAGGCAGAUAAGGUAACUUCCAAGAACAACUUCAUCCUGUUCUUUGGAAGAGGCAGGUUUGAGAGACAGGAAGAGUAGGCUCAGAUCAGAGAGAUGUUGAGGAUUCUUCAGUUUAGCACAUCAAAGUGUCAUAGUUUGGUGUAUUGGUUUCUGAGCUCCAACAAGGCCAUGAAGACAGAAACAUGAUUCAUACAAUGUUUCUGAUUUUUAGAUCACAAAGACCAGUGAGAAAGAUUUAUAUGCUUCCAAAUGUUUCAAGUUAAAGUUUAAAUAGAAAUGUAUAAAAUAUGCUAUAAACACACACACACACAACUUCAACUAAUUAUGAUUUCAAGGAAGAGAGAAGAAUGGUAAAAUCAAGACAAAUUUCACUGAACACAUAAUAUUAGAGCUUAAUUUUAAAAAGAAAUCUUUUUGUGGAUUAGGGAAGUAGAGAAAGGGUUUCCAUGAAGAGAAUUAAUGUGAAUACAAAUGCACAUGUUUUUGUUUGUUUUCUGAUAAGCUUAUUUUUUUCUUUCUUUUUUUCUUUUUUAUUGUUUGAGGUACAAUGCCAUGAAAAGGAAUGCUGAGCACUCUAGGAUUCUACUUUAAGUUGGAAACCAUAAAUAUGUAAUGCCUCCAAUUUUCUUGGCAAUAUGAGUUUUUCUAGCAACACAAAGCUGCCAAGUGCAGGAUCCUAGAAUGGGAAAAUUUAAGUUCAAUGAACAUUAUUUUCAGGCAUGAACAACAUUUGGGCAGGUACAACUUUUUAAUAACUUAAAAUCAAGACACCAAGCAAAUAAACUCCCAAACAGCUCAACUGUUGGACUGUCUUAUGAAGAUAGCCACAAUGGCUAGGAUUUAAUGAUAAUAAGAUGUAUAUUUCGAAGCACCUCUCCACGUGAACUGUUCUUAUGCAACAGAAAACAUAAUUAUGAAAUUUAAAAAAAUAUGUUUUUUUUCUCUGAAACUGAAAUGAAUACAAUUCUGAUAUGGUAACAAGAAAAAUGUAUUUCAGACAACGAUAACUCAUUAUUGAUGUUAAUAUUGAAGUUCUUUUCCACACUAUGGAGACGGGUAGCUUCUUUGUGCACUCAGAGAAUUUGCUUUUAUCUUCCUUUGCUACCUCAGGUCAAUAGUCCAUCAAUAUUUUAUAGUCUCUCUUCUACCACAGUACUUCCACUUAUGGCGUGACAGCAUUCUUUAAAGGAGCUCCAGUAUCUUCCUUUUUCAUCAAUUCAUAUCAUUUCCAUGCUCCUCCUGGCUUAUAGAUAGAAAAAGAAGUUUUCUUAAAAGUUUAGAAAGGUGUCUCUCUCUCCUUUCUUCCUUCUAUCGUUUCAGAGGGGUUCUGCCCCACACUAGGAGGAAGGAAUGCCACGUAGAGAAGCCAAGAAGAAUCUGAACAAACAAGUCCGGCUAGAUCUCCUUCUCAGUCCAUUACCAUUAGAUCAUACCCUUUUGUCCAAUCACAUCUCCACUCAGCUGUCAAUUUUUCAUCGAAUCUAAGCAUAAAAAUGGAUAAUUUUCCCUGGGUCUUUGGGUCUUUAUUUCUGAAGCCUCCCAAAAUCAUGUAAAAACUUGAUUUAAUAAAAUUGUUACGCUUUUCUCUUGUUAACCUUUUUGUUGUUGUUGUUAUGACAGCAUCAGUUGUGAGACUUAUGAUGGGUAUGGAAAGGUAUCACAACUUUCAGCACCUUAAGGUUUCCAAUGGGUGUACUGUUCCAAGAGUGUGGAGAGACACUUCUGAGUUGUUAGAUUAUGAACCCAAGGUUCAAGGUCCUGAAGUUUUUCUGCAGUAUGGAUGGCAAGGGUAGUCUUUCUCUGAUGUUCUCAGAAGAUUCAAUCUUCAGGUUCUCAGUUGUGAAGAGGGUUGAUUGUCUUCAGUCAGUAAAACUUGAAAAGCUUUCUUUACCUCUCUUUUGGAUGAUUCAGGGGCCCUCUGCAGCAUCCCAAAUGUAGAGGUCAAAAAUAAUUAGUUUUGAAGCUGAAAUUUGAUUUUGAAAAGACUGUGUCAAUUAUGUCAAAGGUUUAAAACACUUGAACAAAAAAGGAUCACAGAUCACUGUAAAACAACAGUCAUUCAUUUAACAAGAGUGAUAAUGAAAAGAUUUUUAAAAACAAAAACCUAUAAUGGACAUAGAGUUUUCCAAAUAAUCAAAAGCCAUAAGACAGCAUGAUGAUACAGAAUCUCUCUCUUCUUCUUUCCUCUCUUUUGCAGUUUGCUCAAAAGAUGAAUAAAAAUAUUUUGAUGUGUCUUAUUAAUAUUACAUAAAAUUUUUGUGCAAAAUAGAAAACUGAAUUUUGCUUUGUAUUAGUGUAUUAUGAAUAUUAAAACUAAUGUUAAUAAAACCUCAUAACUUUAUUCAAUUUGUCAUUUUUAACCACACUAAAAUUCUAUAAACCUUUCACUUUACAUUUUUCCUCAACUUCCUAUAUUCAUCUUAUUUUAUCUGUUUUUUACUCCAGUGUGAAAUCUUUAAGUAAAUUUAAACCAGAAAAACACAUUUUAUGCCUUCAUUACUUUCCUAAUCAAAUAUAUAUUUUGCUUUUGUUUGUAUACUCUGUAUACAGAAUUGUUUUUCUUAUAUCUAAUAGUUUUAAACUCUUAGUAACUCUAAUUUCUAUUGAGAACACUAGAAAGUAAUUUUUAACUGUUUUAUAUUUAUGUUUGUAGAUGAAAACAAUUUUAUAAUUCUUUUAGAAAAAUAAUUCUUCAAAUUAUUGUUUAUUAGCAGAUCUAAAUAUAUUUAGCUUUUCUUUUCCAUAUGAAUAUAAAUUUCAAGGAAUAUAGAGCUAAACUAAUAUUUAAUAAUUAAUAUUUCAGUAUCUUAACUUACAGAUGACUCAGAUUUAAGUGAUUAUCUAUUACUUAAUUU
rnacentral:lncRNA from 10 species